GCUUAGGGAGGAGCUUGCGUCACAUUAGUUAGUUGGUGGGGUAAAGGCCUAMCAAGACUAUGAUGUGUAGCCGGGCUGAGAGGUUGAACGGCCACAUUGGGACUGAGACACGGCCCAAACUCCUACGGGAGGCAGCAGUAGGGAAUUUUCGGCAAUGGAGGAAACUCUGACCGAGCAACGCCGCGUGAACGAUGAAGUAUUUCGGUACGUAAAGUUCUUUUAUUAGGGAAGAAUAAAUGAUGGAAAAAUCAUUCUGACGGUACCUAAUGAAUAAGCCCCGGCUAACUAUGUGCCAGCAGCCGCGGUAAUACAUAGGGGGCAAGCGUUAUCCGGAAUUAUUGGGCGUAAAGGGUGCGUAGGCGGUUAAAUAAGUUUAUGGUCUAAGUGCAAUGCUCAACAUUGUGAUGCUAUAAAAACUGUUUAGCUAGAGUAAGAUAGAGGCAAGUGGAAUUCCAUGUGUAGUGGUAAAAUGCGUAAAUAUAUGGAGGAACACCAGUAGCGAAGGCGGCUUGCUGGGUCUUUACUGACGCUGAGGCACGAAAGCGUGGGGAGCAAACAGGAUUAGAUACCCUGGUAGUCCACGCCGUAAACGAUGAGUACUAAACGUUGGGUAAAACCAGUGUUGAAGUUAACACAUUAAGUACUCCGCCUGAGUAGUACGUACGCAAGUAUGAAACUUAAAGGAAUUGACGGGACUCCGCACAAGCGGUGGAUCAUGUUGUUUAAUUCGAAGGUACCCGAAAAACCUCACCAGGUCUUGACAUGCUUCUGCAAAGCUGUAGAAACACAGUGGAGGUUAUCAGUUGCACAGGUGGUGCAUGGUUGUCGUCAGCUCGUGUCGUGAGAUGUUGGGUUAAGUCCCGCAACGAGCGCAACCCUUAUUGUUAGUUACCAGCACGUAAUGGUGGGGACUUUAGCAAGACUGCCAGUGAUAA
rnacentral:rRNA from 1 species